GAAGACGCUAAAAUUGCAACGUUUCGAUAAUAUCCGGGAAUUGCCAUUUGAUGAAUAUAUUGGUCAUCUCUAGACUCCCGGAACUUCCGGAAUAUUGUAGGAAAUAGAGAUGAUCUAAUAGCUAAAGUCUUCUGUAGCAUUAACUUUUAGACCACAACAGCGGUGCUGAAUAGUUUGGAGGCUUUUCUAAUAUAUAUGUAGUGAAGAUAAAUGUUUUGGACAAAUAUUACAGUACAGAUCAGCCAGCCAUCACUUGCAGGAGACAGCGCUUCUGUUCGGGGGGAACUGUUAAGCUACGAACCCAUUUAGAAGAGGCUGAAAUUAGAUGCCGGGCACGUCUAAACUAAAGGACAGGAAAUCAUCCAGCAGUGGUUCCGAAAUUCGAAACAUGCCGAAUAUCAAAGUCUUCAGCGGAACUUCGCAUUCCGAUCUAACCAGGAAAGUCUGCGACCGACUCGGUAUUGAUAAAGGAAAGGUUGUCACAACGAAAUUCAGCAAUGGAGAAACUUGUGUGGAGAUAGGAGAGUCUGUACGUGGUGAAGAUGUCUACAUCGUACAGAGUGGAUGCGGAGAAGUCAAUGACAUGUUGAUGGAAUUAUUAAUCAUGAUCAAUGCUUGCAAGAUUGCUUCUGCCUGUAGAGUAACUGCUGUCAUACCAUGUUUUCCAUAUGCUCGCCAAGAUAAGAAAGACAAAAGCAGGGCCCCCAUAUCUGCAAAACUUGUUGCUAACAUGCUCUCUGUUGCUGGAGCUGAUCACAUCAUCACAAUGGAUCUGCAUGCUUCUCAGAUUCAGGGAUUUUUUGAUAUACCAGUUGACAAUUUGUAUGCUGAACCUGCUGUGUUGAAAUGGAUCAAAAGUAACAUUCCUGAAUGGAGGAACUGCACAAUAGUUUCCCCUGAUGCUGGUGGUGCAAAACGUGUUACAUCCAUAGCUGAUUGGUUGAAUGUUGAUUUUGCCCUGAUUCAUAAAGAAAGGAAAAAAGCUAAUGAAGUUGCUUCAAUGGUUCUUGUUGGAGAUGUCAAAGACAAAAUUGCUAUUUUGGUAGAUGACAUGGCAGACACUUGUGGCACCAUUUGUCAUGCUGCUGGAAAGUUGCUUGAAGCUGGAGCAGUUAAGGUGUAUGCUAUUUGCACUCAUGGUAUUUUCUCUGGCCCAGCCAUUUCAAGAAUUAACAGUUCUCAGUUUGAAGCAGUUGUGGUUACUAACACAAUACCACAAGAUGAUAGGAUGAAACAAGCACCAAAAAUUCAGUGUAUUGAUAUAUCGAUGAUUUUAGCUGAGGCUGUACGGCGUACUCACAACGGAGAGUCUGUAUCUUACCUGUUUUCCAAUGUGCCAAUGUAGAUGCUGUUGCCAGUUGAUUGACACUUUUAUAAUGCAGGUUCUUAUAAAAGAAACAAAGAAUAUCUUCAAAGAAAACAUGCAUGUGUAUUGAUAUAUCAAUGAUGCUUGCCGAAGCCAUCAGGCGAACACACAAUGGCGAGUCUGUCUCCUAUUUAUUCAGCCAUGUUCCUCUCUAACUGCUGCUACCUUCUUUGCAAAAUUUAGUACCUUUUCAAAAUUACUUUUGUCAUUAUUUUCCCCUAUACCAUGUAUCAGAGCAAUACUUUUUCAUGAUUUUUUUUUUUUUUU